rnacentral:rRNA from 1 species
AGUCGAACGGAGUACUUCGGUACUUAGUGGCGGACGGGUGAGUAACGCGUGAGAAUCUGCCUUCAGGUUCGGGACAACCACUGGAAACGGUGGCUAAUACCGAAUGUGCAGCAAUGUGAAAAAUUUAUUGCCUGGAGAUGAGCUCGCGUCUGAUUAGCUAGUAGGUGUGGUAAGAGCGCACCUAGGCGACGAUCAGUAGCUGGUCUGAGAGGAUGAUCAGCCACACUGGGACUGAGACACGGCCCAGACUCCUACGGGAGGCAGCAGUGGGGAAUUUUCCGCAAUGGGCGAAAGCCUGACGGAGCAAUACCGCGUGAGGGAGGAAGGCUCUUGGGUUGUAAACCUCUUUUCUCAGGGAAGAAAAAAAUGACGGUACCUGAGGAAUAAGCAUCGGCUAACUCCGUGCCAGCAGCCGCGGUAAUACGGAGGAUGCAAGCGUUAUCCGGAAUGAUUGGGCGUAAAGCGUCCGCAGGUGGCUGUGUAAGUCUGCUGUUAAAGAAUCUGGCUCAACCAGAUAAAGGCAGUGGAAACUACAUGGCUAGAGUGCGUUCGGGGCAGAGGGAAUUCCUGGUGUAGCGGUGAAAUGCGUAGAGAUCAGGAAGAACACCGGUGGCGAAAGCGCUCUGCUAGGCCGCAACUGACACUGAGGGACGAAAGCUAGGGGAGCGAAUGGGAUUAGAUACCCCAGUAGUCCUAGCCGUA